UAUGCGCAGUAAAACGAGUUUCUUUGUACACAUUAUGAAUAGUGCAUUCGACGUUAUUUUGAACGGUAUAUCGAGCAUUGUAUCGAAUUCGCAUAUACUACAUGGCGUAACACGUGUAAACACCGUGUGUACUCCCAAGUACAACCAUCGAAGCCACGAUUAAUGGAUCGAAGAAUCAAUCGAGGUAAUAUACGUGAAAAUAAUUUAGCAACUUCGCUUAUAGUCUCUUCCAUUGAAUUUUCACCAUCCCGUUUGUAUGCACGAGACGUAAUAAGAAGUAAAAAGUCAGUGUCAUCUGUUA